AUAGCGUAUAUUAAAGUUGUUGCAGUUAAAAAGCUCGUAGUUGGAUCUCGGGUUUAGGCCUGCGGUGCAGUUUAGGCUGCUUACUGCUCGUCCUGACCUACCUGCCGGUUUUCCCUCGGUGCUCUUAAGUGAGUGUCUUGGGUGGCCGGAACGUUUACUUUGAAAAAAUUAGAGUGCUCAAAGCAGGCUUCUGCCUGAAUAUUAGUGCAUGGAAUAAUCGAAUAGGACCUCGGUUCUAUUUUGUUGGUUUUCGGAACUCGAGGUAAUGAUUAAGAGGGACAGACGGGGGCAUUCGUAUUACGGUGUUAGAGGUGAAAUUCUUGGAUCGCCGUAAGACGAACUACUGCGAAAGCAUUUGCCAAGAAUGUUUUCAUUAAUCAAGAACGAAAGUCAGAGGUUCGAAGACGAUCAGAUACCGUCGUAGUUCUGACCAUAAACGAUGCCAACUAGCGAUCCGCCGGAGUUGUUUGAAUGACUCGGCGAGCAGCUUCCGGGAAACCAAAGUGUUUGGGUUCCGGGGGAAGUAUGGUUGCAAAGCUGAAACUUAAAG
rnacentral:rRNA from 1 species